rnacentral:Y_RNA from 2 species
GGCUCGUCCGAGUGCAGUCGUGUUUAGAACUAAUUGAUGACAACCAGUUACAGAGUUUUUUGCUUUUUCUCCAUUCCCAUUGUUUCAUUUGACUAGUUAAAA